rnacentral:tRNA from 2 species
UCCCUGGUGGUCUAGUGGUUAGGCCUUGGCGCUUUCACCGCCGAGGCCCAGGUUCGGUCCCUGGUCUGGGAA